GUAUAACUCAACUCACAGGCAGGACAGUGAAGACCUUUGAAGAAGUGAAGCUACAACUGAAGACAUCAGAAGACUAUCACCAUGGUGACAUUGACCAUCAUUCUGCUUGUCAGCACAGCUUUUGCUCUGGGAGACACCUUUGUUCCCAUAGUCUAUCAAGAUAUCAUCAAGGCCCGCUGUGAGCUUGCUAGAGAUGCCGCGACACAUGGCCCAGAUAGAGGCUUCUUCCCCACUUGUGACAACAAUGGACAAUACACCCCUGAGCAAUGUUGGGGCU